rnacentral:rRNA from 1 species
UAAAAAUUUACUUAUUUUAGGUAGUAACAGAUUUCUUGAAACCUAAAGAAUUUGGCGGUAUUUUAAAUAAUUAGAGGAACCUGUUUAAUAAAUGAUAAUCCACAACAUAUCUUACCUAAAUUAAGUUUGUAUACCGUUGUUUUCAGAUUAUAUUUUAAAAUUAUAGUCAAAAUUAAUUUAUUUUUAUAAAUCAAAUCAAGGUGCAGCAUAUUUAGGUUAAAAUGGGUUACAAUAUAUUUAUAUAUCUAUGAAUUAAUAAUGAAAACAUUUAUGAAGGUGGAUUUAAAAGUAAUUUAAAAUUAAAAUGUUUAAAUGAAUAAAAAUUUAAAAUAUGC